UACAGAGGUCUCAAGCGUUGUUCGGAUUCAUUGGGCGUAAAGGGUGCGUAGGCGGCGCGGUAAGUCGGGUGUGAAAUCUCGGAGCUUAACUCCGAAACUGCAUUCGAUACUGCCGUGCUUGAGGACUGGAGAGGAGACUGGAAUUUACGGUGUAGCGGUGAAAUGCGUAGAUAUCGGGAGGAACACCAGUGGCGAAGGCGGCUUCCUGGCCUGUUCUUGACGCUGAGGCGCGAAAGCUAGGGGAGCAAACGGGG
rnacentral:rRNA from 1 species